rnacentral:rRNA from 1 species
UGGGGAAUUUUGGACAAUGGGCGAAAGCCUGAUCCAGCAAUGCCGCGUGUGUGAAGAAGGCCUUCGGGUUGUAAAGCACUUUUGUCCGGAAAGAAAUCCUUGGCUCUAAUACAGUCGGGGGAUGACGGUACCGGAAGAAUAAGCACCGGCUAACUACGUGCCAGCAGCCGCGGUAAUACGUAGGGUGCAAGCGUUAAUCGGAAUUACUGGGCGUAAAGCGUGCGCAGGCGGUUUGCUAAGACCGAUGUGAAAUCCCCGGGCUCAACCUGGGAACUGCAUUGGUGACUGGCAGGCUAGAGUAUGGCAGAGGGGGGUAGAAUUCCACGUGUAGCAGUGAAAUGCGUAGAGAUGUGGAGGAAUACCGAUGGCGAAGGCAGCCCCCUGGGCCAAUACUGACGCUCAUGCACGAAAAGCGUGGGGGAGCAAAACAGGAUUAGAUACCCUGGUAG